rnacentral:rRNA from 1 species
GAAUAGAAAAAUUAAUAAAAAAUAAAUAAUAAAAGAAUUUUUAAUAUUGGGGGAUAUUAAAGUAUUUUUUUAAAAAAAAUAUUAAUUUUUAUAGUAAAAUAGUAUUGUAAAAUAAAUUUGAAAUAAUUGAAAAUAAAUUAAAAAUAAAGUAAUUUUAAUUUAAUGUAUCUUGGGUAUCAGAGUUUAUUAAAAAAUGUUUUUUAGAAAAAAAAAUCUCGAAUUUAAAAGAGUUAAUUAAUUAAAAAAAUUAAUGUUGAAUAAUUAUUUUAAAUAAUUAAUUAGAAAUGAAAUGUUAAUCGUUUUUAAAUAUAUCUAGUUUUUUUAGAAAAAAAUUUAAUUUAAAAUUUAAAAAAUUUUAUUAAAAAAUAUUUUUUAAUAAAAUUUUUAAAAUUUAAUAUAUUAAGGGAUAAGCUUUAAUAUAAAUAUUUAUAAUUAAUUAAUUUAUAUCAUAAAAAUUUUAAAAUUUAUAUUGUUUAAAAAUUAAAAUUUUUUAUAAAAAAUUUUAAUAAAAAUAAAAUUUAAUAUAAUUUAAUUUUUUAUAAAAAAAUAAUUUUUAAUAAAAAAAAAUUAGAAAUAAUGAUAAAAUUAGUAUAUUUAUAUUAAAAAUAAUAAGGUAAAUUUAAUUUAAAUUAAAGGAAUUCGGCAAAUAUUUAUAUUCACUUGUUUAUCAAAAACAUGUCUUUUAGAAAAUAAUUUAAAGUCUAAUCUGCCCACUGAUAAAUUAUUAAAGGGCUGCAGUAUAUUGACUGUACAAAGGUAGCAUAAUAAAUAGUCUUUUAAUUGAAGACUUGUAUGAAAGAUUUAAUGAAAUAUAAACUGUCUCUGAUUUAAUAAUAGAAAUUAAUUUUUUAGUUAAAAAGCUAAAAUUUUUUUAAAAGACGAGAAGACCCUAUAGAGUUUUAUUUUAUUAUUAUUUAAGAUUAUAUUUAUAAUUAAAAAUUAAAAUUAGUAUUAAAAUUUUAUUGGGGUGAUAAAAAAAUUAAAAUAACUUUUUUUAAAAUUUAUUAACAUAAAUAAAUGAAAAUUUGAUCCAUAAAUUAUGAUUAAAAGAAAAAAUUACCUUAGGGAUAACAGCGUAAUAUUUUUUUUUAGUACAAAUAAAAAAAAAAGAUUGCGACCUCGAUGUUGGAUUAAGAUAAAAUUUAAAUGCAAAAGUUUAAAAGUUUUGAUCUGUUCGAUCAUUAAAAUCUUACAUGAUCUGAGUUCAAACCGGUGUAAGCCAGGUUGGUUUCUAUCUUUAAAAUAAAAAAAAUAUUUUAGUACGAAAGGAUCAAAUAUUAUUAAUAAUUAAAUUAAUUAGAAUAUUAGUAAAUUUUAUAUAA